rnacentral:rRNA from 1 species
UGGGGAAUAUUGCACAAUGGGCGCAAGCCUGAUGCAGCAACGCCGCGUGGAGGAAGACGGUUUUCGGAUUGUAAACUCCUGUUCUUAGUGAAGAAUAAUGACGGUAGCUAAGGAGCAAGCCACGGCUAACUACGUGCCAGCAGCCGCGGUAAUACGUAGGGAGCGAGCGUUAUCCGGAAUUAUUGGGUGUAAAGGGUGCGUAGACGGGAAGAUAAGUUAGUUGUGAAAUCCCUCGGCUUAACUGAGGAACUGCAACUAAAACUGUUUUCUUGAGUGCAGGAGAGGUAAGUGGAAUUCCUAGUGUAGCGGUGAAAUGCGUAGAUAUUAGGAGGAACACCAGUGGCGAAGGCGCUUACUGGACUGUAACUGACGUUGAGGCCCGAAAGCGUGGGGAGCAAACAGGAUUAGAUACCCUGGUAGU